UGUAGCUUAUUACUUUAAUCAUAUCCUUGCAGGACAAAUGCAAGCAGUGGAGUUGAAUUUGGGCAGCAAAGAGUUCCCUUAUGCCUCUUUUACACCAAGGAUGUGAAAAAUAACUCAAAAAAAAAUGUCACCAUUUCCACCGUGUGUGCGUACAUGUGUGAGAACUGUGAGGGGAAGACUGGAACUGUGGUUAAUGUUACUGGCUUUGGAAUGAAGAAAUACGUUUGCUGUAUGUAAGCCAAGACCCUCACCAGAUGGCAAACCUUUCAGCUGAGAUGGAUUAGGAUAGGAUGACAUGAGAGCAGACAAGGAGCACUGUACUGAAGCUGAUGAUUUUUCACAGGACUACGGCCUUAGACCUUCUGCUUUCUGUGUAGGUUAAUAGAAACCUCUUCCUGCAGGUGCCUACAAUCAUUCUGACUUCAAAGCCCAUGUGCUCAGCAGUUGUCCCACUGCAUUUUCCAUCUCUCCCUUUGCAUUCUGUACAGAGUUGCAAGAUGCUUUCCAAACUACAUCUGGCUAGCGCAGAGGAGGAGCGUGUCAGGGGUAAUCCUUCUCCUCCGCUGCUUAUUGAGCAAUUAGGCCACUAAAAAAGAUCUUAUUUACAGAUACUUGAAGAGGCUGUAAUUUACUAGGUUUUGUAAUAAAUUUCAAUCCAUCAGGAGGUAGCCAGAGGCAAGUCUGGAGUUUUAGCAGCGGCUAAUUUGUGGCUUCACUCCUGGGAUAGAAACAGGAUUUGAAAAGUUCCCAAUACUAAAGGAAUUUGUUUAAAUCUCUGGUCCCAGAAAAAAAUGAAUGCUUGCUUUAAAAGUUGUCUGAAAGUGAAAUUUCUCACUGUAGAAUCCAUCCUUAAUAUAAUUGGAAUAAUUAACUGAACUGCUAUAAUUUACCCAGCAUGCCUCUCCGUGGGCUGAGCCUUUAAAUUUGGCAGAUAGAGGCAGCUGUGGUUCUCAAAGUGUUCUACAAAGCUGGUUUCAGCUCCACUCCUCCUUUCUGGUAAGGCUUUUUUAGCUCUUGCUGGGAAAGUUUCUGUGUUUGGGGCAAAAGUUUUUCCCUUCUCACAUGGUAUUACUGUAAAACUUGGCAUACCAAGUAGCAGCUAAUGAAUAAGUUCCCAUUUCUUUCUGAAAGCUGUGUGCUUCUACAGGACAUAAAUUGCAAUAUUUUGUUACUGUGUUUUUAAAGUUUCAUCUUGUAAAGAAGUCUUCUCUGGAAUUAUUAUUUUCAGUAGUUUCUAGCAAAUGCUGUUUAUGUAUGCUGUGUUUUAAUCUUGUGCACUUUUAGUAGAGGAUCUCAAAUUGAUCUGUUGACUAGAAUGUGGAUUUAGUGUCCGAUUUGAAGCAGAUGCUUAUUCAACUCUGGGACAAGAACAGUGAUGACUGAAUGUUGUUAUCAUUUGAUUGUUACUGAGUGGUUUAAGUGAACUAAGGUUUUGCAAUAUCAGUCAAUUUUUCUGUGGGCUGCUUUCUAUGUAACACUUGGCACCCUUGCUGGCCUUUAUUAGUGAAGUGUUCAAUGUACCAUAGAAAAGCAACCUCUUAGGUCAGGUGUGAGGUAUAUUGGCAAGAUUCAGAGUGUUGUACUAUUAUUGCUUACAUUUUAUCUGUUACUUCUAUGCCUAAAGUUCUCUAGCAACAUCAAAGAGUCAUUCAGAAAGGCUGAAUCAACAUGAAGGAUUUAUAAACUGCAGAAACUCUGCUUCCAGAGAUGUUUUAAAAGUGUUAUUGAUGGCAAUAUGUAAAUAAAGAGGAAACCAGAAGAACAAGAAGCCUAGCUGAUUUCAGUUUAAUUGAAAGUACUACUAAAGAGGGGAGAGGGUGGCAGACUUAUCGAAGGGAUAAGGAGAAAAUGGGUAAAGAAUAUAAUGGUAGUUGUAAGCUGCUGUGAAACAAUACAGAAAAUUGUUUUUAUUUUUUUUGGUUUAUUUGGAUAGUUUGUUGGUUUUAUAAUGAAUCAUGCAGAAAUACAUUAGAAAAAACAACAGCGAAGAACUGCAGUGAAAUACUGUGGAGAUUCAUAAUGCUGUGGAAAUGUACAAGUGCAAAAAUACGUUGUUCUAUUCUCAUUGGAUGUUCAUGGCUACAACCUGGUUUAUCUCCGUACAUCUCACACCAAUGGGUAUAAGUCUACAGGCUAUAAGAAUGACUGUGCAUUUUGCUGGAGAA